UACGUAGGGGGCAAGCGUUGUCCGGAUUUAUUGGGCGUAAAGAGCGUGUAGGCGGUUAGGUAGGUCCGUUGUGAAAACUCGAGGCUCAACCUCGAGACGCCGAUGGAAACCAUCUGACUAGAGUCCGGAAGAGGAGAGUGGAAUUCCUGGUGUAGCGGUGAAAUGCGCAGAUAUCAGGAAGAACACCAGUGGCGAAGGCGGCGCUCUGGAAAGGGACUGACACUGAGGCGCGAAAGCGUGGGGAGCGAACAGG
rnacentral:rRNA from 1 species